UGGUUUUGUCUCUUUAUUCUUCUUCUCUUCUCUUUUCUUCCUUUUGGAUUGAUUCAACAUAUUGGUUUAAGAUAGAUCAUAUUGUUAUCAUGGUAUCACAACCUAUAAUUGAGUGAAAUUUGUGAUUGGGGCGUGCUGGAAAUCAAAACAGAAAUCAGGCGAAGAAAGUUCUCGCAAAAAAUCUAAUCGAUCACAACUUAAAAUCAAGAUUCCAACCAAACUGGAGACCCGUUGAGAAAACUGAGACCAGAUCCUUGUUCAACUAGUUGAGACAAAACUUUUGGUCAAGCGUGUGUCGG
rnacentral:lncRNA from 1 species